UACAGAGGGUGCAAGCGUUGUUCGGAAUUAUUGGGCGUAAAGAGCUCGUAGGCGGUUUGUCGCGUCUGCUGUGAAAGACCGGGGCUCAACUCCGGUUCUGCAGUGGGUACGGGCAGACUAGAGUGCAGUAGGGGAGACUGGAAUUCCUGGUGUAGCGGUGAAAUGCGCGGAUAUCAGGAGGAACACCGAUGGCGAAGGCAGGUCUCUGGACAGUUCCUGACGCUGAGGCACGAAGGUCAGGGGAGCAAACGGG
rnacentral:rRNA from 1 species